GUUGAACGCUGGCGGCAGGCUUAACACAUGCAAGUCGAGCGGGGUGAUGGUGCUUGCACUAUCACUUAGCGGCGGACGGGUGAGUAAUGCUUAGGAAUCUGCCUAUUAGUGGGGGACAACAUCUCGAAAGGGAUGCUAAUACCGCAUACGUCCUACGGGAGAAAGCAGGGGAUCACUUGCGACCUUGCGCUAAUAGAUGAGCCGAAGUCGGAUUUGCUAGUUGGUGGGGUAAAGGCCUACCAAGGCGACGAUCUGUAGCGGGUCUGAGAGGAUGAUCCGCCACACUGGGACUGAGACACGGCCCAGACUCCUACGUGAGGCAGCAGUGGGGAAUAUUGGACAAUGGGGGGAACCCUGAUCCAGCCAUGCCGCGUGUGUGAAGAAGGCCUUAUGGUUGUAAAGCACUUUAAGCGAGGAGGAGGCUCUUUUGGUUAAUACCCAAGAUGAGUGGACGUUACUCGCAGAGUAAGCACCGGCUAACUCUGUGCCAGCCGCCGCGGUAA
rnacentral:rRNA from 1 species